AUUGAACGCUGGCGGCAGGCCUAACACAUGCAAGUCGAGCGGAGCGGCGGACGGGUGAGUAAUGCCUAGGAAUCUGCCUGGUAGUGGGGGAUAACGUCCGGAAACGGGCGCUAAUACCGAUAACUAUAAGAUGGGCCUAGGCCGGAUUAGCUAGUUGGUGGGGUAAAGGCCUACCAAGGCGACGAUCCGUAACUGGUCUGAGAGGAUGAUCAGUCACACUGGAACUGAGACACGGUCCAGACUCCUACGGGAGGCAGCAGUGGGGAAUAUUGGACAAUGGGCGAAAGCCUGAUCCAGCCAUGCCGCGUGUGUGAAGAAGGUCUUCGGAUUGUAAAGCACUUUAAGUUGGGAGGCGUUACCAACAGAAUAAGCACCGGCUAACUUCGUGCCAGCAGCCGCGGUAAUAC
rnacentral:rRNA from 1 species